rnacentral:snRNA from 1 species
UUGCUCGCUUCGGCAGCACAUAUACUAAAAUUGGAACGAUACAGAGAAGAUUAGCAUGGCCCUGUGCAAGGAUGACACGCAAAUUCUUUCUUUCUUUCUUU